UGCCAAUAUCCACUGUUUAGAUCAAUAGUAGAGAAGAUGGCUGCCCCAGAGAGGGAUUCCAGAAUUUCUGUGAUGUUGGGAAGAGGACCACCGGUGAUGCCCAAGCAGAGUGGGAUGGUUCAACUAUUCCUUGCCUCAACAUCUCAUCAAGUUGCUCCUCCAGGGCAAAUUGCUUGAGGGGAGACAAACGGUAUGGCCGUUGUUUAAUGGGGACUUGGCUGGUGGCAUAAAUGCUGUGUUGGAGAACCUCAGUACGUCCAGUACGGAGAGUACACACCUGAGGGCUUUCGUUCAGGAUUUGGAGUAAAUGUAGCUUUUCAUCAAAGGGGGUACUCUUUUGAAGGAUCCAGCUUGAAGGAGUAUUUUUGAUCAAUGACAUUGAGUUGCAGCCCACUGAAGAAAAUAAAGUCCAACCCCAAGACUACAGCAUAAGCUAGAGCUUGGGAUGAAAGUACAGCAGUAGAUAAAGAGGACCACGGCACCACGGUUGCAGCUGGUCGGGGGAUGUUAGCUGCCUCAUGAGAUUCUCAUGGAUGAGUGUGUAGCUUGCACCAGUGUCCACAAUGGCUUUACCUGACCAGGCAUCGAUACAAAGGGGAACAACUAGUUGUUGAGGCACAGCUACACGUUCAUUAGAGCUUGUACAUGAGGAGGAGGUUUUCUUGGUUGCUAAUUGUGACUUAUGACUUUUUUUGUUGCAGCAACAGAGUUGUUGGACGGAUGACCACCUGACUUGGGG
ensembl:lncRNA